rnacentral:rRNA from 1 species
UACGGAGGAUCCUAGCGUUAUCCGGAUUUACUGGGUUUAAAGGGUGCGUAGGCGGGCGUUUAAGUCCGCGGUGAAAGUCUGCGGCUCAACCGUAGGAUUGCCGUGGAUACUGGACGUCUUGGAUUCGGUCGGGGCGGGCGGAAUGCGUGGUGUAGCGGUGAAAUGCAUAGAUAUCACGCAGAACGCCGAUAGCGAAGGCAGCUCGCCGGGCCGACAUCGACGCUGAGGCACGAAAGCGUGGGGAUCAAACAGGAUUAGAUACCCUGGUAGUCCACGCCGUAAACGAUGAUGGCUGGGUGUUGGCGAUACACCGUCAGCGCCUGAGGGAAACCAUUAAGCCAUCCACCUGGGGAGUACGGCCGCAAGGCUGAA